GAUGAACGCUAGCGGGAGGCCUAACACAUGCAAGCCGAGCGGUAUUGUUUCUUCGGAAAUGAGAGAGCGGCGUACGGGUGCGGAACACGUGUGCAACCUGCCUUUAUCUGGGGGAUAGCCUUUCGAAAGGAAGAUUAAUACUCCAUAAUAUAUUGAACGGCAUCGUUUAAUAUUGAAAGCUCCGGCGGAUAGAGAUGGGCACGCGCAAGAUUAGCUAGUUGGUGAGGUAACGGCUCACCAAGGCAAUGAUCUUUAGGGGGCCUGAGAGGGUGAUCCCCCACACUGGUACUGAGACACGGACCAGACUCCUACGGGAGGCAGCAGUGAGGAAUAUUUGUCAAUGGGUGCAAGCCUGAACCAGCCAUCCCGCGUGAAGGACGACUGCCCUAUGGGUUGUAAACUUCUUUUGUAUAGGGAUAAACCUUUCCACGUGUGGAAAGCUGAAGGUACUAUACGAAUAAGCACCGGCUAACUCCGUACCAGCCGCCGCCGUAAUAC
rnacentral:rRNA from 1 species